GGGAGGCUUCCAGAAAACAACAAAAGUCCAGGGAGAUCCCAGCUCUUCUCAGCAACCCUCCAGGAAGCAAUCGGAGACUGCACAGAAACAUUCCCUUCCUUGCUCUGAUGCUCCUAUGAUCUGUGAAAACACUUUGUUGAUCCCAUCUGGAAAAUGUGGCAAAAGUGCCAUUGGAAGUGGACACUUGUCCUCAGCAAACACCAAACCUGCUGUCACCUUGAUCUUGGACCUCCCAGGCUCCAGAACUGGAUCAGUGAGUCGGGAACAAGACAGAUGUGCCAGGGAAUAAAUGCACCACCUCAGGUUCAUCACUCAACCAAUGACUAAUGGGCCUUGAAGAAGUGCGUGAAUAUUCCUGCUUGCUAACACUUCAGAUGGGAAACUGUGAGUCCCACGUCCCACACUGUCUCCAGCAUUGCCUAAUGAGACAGACCUUGAAACAGACCUAAAAUGGCUUUCUUUCCCUUCUCUGUAGACACUUGCCCACCCCUUAGACUAUUUCUUGGUUUCAUGUUCACAAAUAAAUUACUUGAACUUGA